CAGGAUUGGUUAGCGUCUGAGGCUGUCUCACAGCUGUGUGUCUACUUUACCGCGGUUGUCCGCAGUUCGACACUCUGGUGUGGGAGUGGAAGACGCGAGUGUGAAGACAACACCCCCUUCCCCCGUGUAUUUCCUGCUUUUUCUUUCUUUCGCGUCUUAGUGAGUUGGUAAAGGGUAACGGAGGAAGGCGAAUAAAAGAUAAAUACAAAUAGAAAAAAUGUUUAUAUAAUCGGUCUGUAAAGUAAGCUAGUUAGCGACAUGGUACACAAGACAAAGUUAGUGAGGACCUUUUUCUUCACUCUGGAUUUAGGAGGACUCCAGCCGUUCAGGUACGCUGGAUUCUUCUGAUACUGACUUAAGAGUGUCCCUGGUGUCCAGCAGGCUGAAGAUCAACAUCUGAUUGGCGACCUGUCCAGGGUGUACCCCGCCUCUCGCCCUAUGACAGCUGGGAUAGGCUCCAGCGCCCCCCGCGACCCUGAAAAGGAUAAGCGGAAGCGAAUGGAUGGAUGGAAAAUCCAACAUCAAUCAUAAAGGUUGUCAAGCAGGCUUCGUCUUUUUGGCUUCUGAUUGAUUUCUCAGUGAUUUAGAUUUAGCGGAGGGCUUUAUAGCCUGAAGGUUUUAUCAGGAUUUUUCAGUAAAUUUGUGAUAUUAUUUAAAACAAUACAGGAAAAAAAUACUGAAUAAAUAGUCAAACAAAUGAACAACACGCUUCUUUGUUUGAAGUGUGCAUUUGUUGGCACUUGGUUGACAUUCACUUCCUGCUUGUUUCUCUUUGCUCACACACCGUCACAGUCUGGUUGCUCUCAGCGGUGUGUUUGCCUCAGGUAGUGAAAACAAGUCUGUUGUCUCCACAGUACUUAGUACAAGUGCCAAAUCUGUGUUUUUCUCUGAAAACCCAAUAACUGCAGUCUGCUCUUCAUGUUCACUUUACAUUUCACAUAUAAAGGGAGGGGCUAUUAUUUUUCAUAAAAUUGUUAUUUUUCUCAGUUUAAACAUUUAAUAUGUUUUUGUGUUUUGAAAUCUUGAUUUAUUAGAUUAGCAAAGUUGCAUCUGAACAAACCACAAGACUUGUGCAACAAUGUCAGUUGGACAGGUGUGGAGACGUAUGGUCGUGAUGCAGGGGACCAUUUGGGGAAAUCCAAACACUAUAUCAGCACAAACUAGGGCUGCUCGAUUAUGGCAAAAAUGAUAAUCACGAUUAUUUUCACUGAAAUUGAGAUCUCGAUUAUUUGACGAUAUUUAUUUAACAAUAACAAUGUAUUGAAUAAUGGCUUUAAACAUUGUCAAAAAAUAAUAUAAAAUAGUGUGCAAAUACUGAUAACAGUGCAAAUGUUUGUAAUAUAAAAAAUAAAUGAAAAAUGUAAACAUUUAUGUUUAGGGAACUUCAAAAUACUGCAUAAUACUGGUUGUUCACUGUGUUGAUUGAGCAGUGGUCUUUGGCGAGUGAAAACGUUACCGUGUUUGUUAUCUCCUUGUGUCUCUGGGAGCUGGUGGGAUAUUUAGUCGCGUUGUACAGGGUAGCGUGAAUGGAGGUCUGUGAGGAUGAAGCAGGUGUUGUCAAGAGUUUUUCUCUAUGUUCCUUCAUUGUUUGAUCGUAUGUCACUUUGUGAACGGUCUUCAAAUGUUUGAAUAAAUUUGUAGUAUUGCUCUGUGGUGCAGCUACGACACCGUAGCAAAGUUUACACACUAUGUCUAGUUGAUCCACGUCUGACUGCGCAAACCCAUAAUGUUUCCACACCACUGAAGUUGUUUCACCUCUCUUUUCAACCAGCGGCAUUCUUUCUUCAGCCAUUAUCCUCACCAAAUAACUUCUGCUUAGCUUUCCGAGCUUCCCUCGGGUCCUCUUAAUUGUUGUGACGCGUGUUCGAAACGCAGAGAGGUGCGCUCGAUUUGUCACACGGAGCAGCGCGAGAGUAAAGUAUGAGGGAGGUGCUAAU
ensembl:lncRNA